GACGAACGCUGGCGGCGUGCUUAACACAUGCAAGUCGAACGGUAAGGCCCCUUCGGGGUACGACGAGUGGCGAACGGGUGAGUAACACGUGAGCAACCUGCCCUUGACUUCGGAAUACCAGCUGGAAACAGCUGCUAAUACCGGAUAUGACUCCGACCGUCCUCGGUCGGGGUGGAAAGCUCCGGCGGUCAGGGAUGGGCUCGCGGCCUAUCAGCUUGUUGGUGAGGUAAUGGCUCACCAAGGCUUCGACGGGUAGCCGGCCUGAGA
rnacentral:rRNA from 1 species